CCUAUGUAGAUAAUAUCAAGCUCAUCAAAUUGAAACCAAUACAAUUAUUUGAUUAUUUUGAACAUCAUGUUUUGAGCACAAAUUCUUUGGAAAUGGCCACAAGUUUGAUUGAAUUCCCACCAUUUUGAGCAUCAACUGUUGAGAACGCGGUCUUCUUCUGAAAUGGCAAGUUCGA